GGUUAAGCGACUAAGCGUACACGGUGGAUGCCCUGGCAGUCAGAGGCGAUGAAGGACGUGCUAAUCUGCGAUAAGCGUCGGUAAGGUGAUAUGAACCGUUAUAACCGGCGAUUUCCGAAUGGGGAAACCCAGUGUGUUUCGACACACUAUCAUUAACUGAAUCCAUAGGUUAAUGAGGCGAACCGGGGGAACUGAAACAUCUAAGUACCCCGAGGAAAAGAAAUCAACCGAGAUUCCCCCAGUAGCGGCGAGCGAACGGGGAGCAGCCCAGAGCCUGAAUCAGUGUGUGUGUUAGUGGAAGCGUCUGGAAAGGCGCGCGAUACAGGGUGACAGCCCCGUACACAAAAAUGCACAUAUUGUGAGCUCGAUGAGUAGGGCGGGACACGUGGUAUCCUGUCUGAAUAUGGGGGGACCAUCCUCCAAGGCUAAAUACUCCUGACUGACCGAUAGUGAACCAGUACCGUGAGGGAAAGGCGAAAAGAACCCCGGCGAGGGGAGUGAAAAAGAACCUGAAACCGUGUACGUACAAGCAGUGGGAGCCUCUUUUAUGGGGUGACUGCGUACCUUUUGUAUAAUGGGUCAGCGACUUAUAUUCUGUAGCAAGGUUAACCGAAUAGGGGAGCCGAAGGGAAACCGAGUCUUAACUGGGCGUUAAGUUGCAGGGUAUAGACCCGAAACCCGGUGAUCUAGCCAUGGGCAGGUUGAAGGUUGGGUAACACUAACUGGAGGACCGAACCGACUAAUGUUGAAAAAUUAGCGGAUGACUUGUGGCUGGGGGUGAAAGGCCAAUCAAACCGGGAGAUAGCUGGUUCUCCCCGAAAGCUAUUUAGGUAGCGCCUCGUGAAUUCAUCUCCGGGGGUAGAGCACUGUUUCGGCAAGGGGGUCAUCCCGACUUACCAACCCGAUGCAAACUGCGAAUACCGGAGAAUGUUAUCACGGGAGACACACGGCGGGUGCUAACGUCCGUCGUGAAGAGGGAAACAACCCAGACCGCCAGCUAAGGUCCCAAAGUCAUGGUUAAGUGGGAAACGAUGUGGGAAGGCCCAGACAGCCAGGAUGUUGGCUUAGAAGCAGCCAUCAUUUAAAGAAAGCGUAAUAGCUCACUGGUCGAGUCGGCCUGCGCGGAAGAUGUAACGGGGCUAAACCAUGCACCGAAGCUGCGGCAGCGACGCUUAUGCGUUGUUGGGUAGGGGAGCGUUCUGUAAGCCUGUGAAGGUGUGCUGUGAGGCAUGCUGGAGGUAUCAGAAGUGCGAAUGCUGACAUAAGUAACGAUAAAGCGGGUGAAAAGCCCGCUCGCCGGAAGACCAAGGGUUCCUGUCCAACGUUAAUCGGGGCAGGGUGAGUCGACCCCUAAGGCGAGGCCGAAAGGCGUAGUCGAUGGGAAACAGGUUAAUAUUCCUGUACUUGGUGUUACUGCGAAGGGGGGACGGAGAAGGCUAUGUUGGCCGGGCGACGGUUGUCCCGGUUUAAGCGUGUAGGCUGGUUUUCCAGGCAAAUCCGGAAAAUCAAGGCUGAGGCGUGAUGACGAGGCACUACGGUGCUGAAGCAACAAAUGCCCUGCUUCCAGGAAAAGCCUCUAAGCAUCAGGUAACAUCAAAUCGUACCCCAAACCGACACAGGUGGUCAGGUAGAGAAUACCAAGGCGCUUGAGAGAACUCGGGUGAAGGAACUAGGCAAAAUGGUGCCGUAACUUCGGGAGAAGGCACGCUGAUAUGUAGGUGAAGUCCCUCGCGGAUGGAGCUGAAAUCAGUCGAAGAUACCAGCUGGCUGCAACUGUUUAUUAAAAACACAGCACUGUGCAAACACGAAAGUGGACGUAUACGGUGUGACGCCUGCCCGGUGCCGGAAGGUUAAUUGAUGGGGUCAGCGCAAGCGAAGCUCUUGAUCGAAGCCCCGGUAAACGGCGGCCGUAACUAUAACGGUCCUAAGGUAGCGAAAUUCCUUGUCGGGUAAGUUCCGACCUGCACGAAUGGCGUAAUGAUGGCCAGGCUGUCUCCACCCGAGACUCAGUGAAAUUGAACUCGCUGUGAAGAUGCAGUGUACCCGCGGCAAGACGGAAAGACCCCGUGAACCUUUACUAUAGCUUGACACUGAACAUUGAGCCUUGAUGUGUAGGAUAGGUGGGAGGCUUAGAAGUGUGGACGCCAGUCUGCAUGGAGCCGACCUUGAAAUACCACCCUUUAAUGUUUGAUGUUCUAACGUGGACCCGUGAUCCGGGUUGCGGACAGUGUCUGGUGGGUAGUUUGACUGGGGCGGUCUCCUCCUAAAGAGUAACGGAGGAGCACGAAGGUUGGCUAAUCUUGGUCGGACAUCAGGAGGUUAGUGCAAUGGCAUAAGCCAGCUUGACUGCGAGCGUGACGGCGCGAGCAGGUGCGAAAGCAGGUCAUAGUGAUCCGGUGGUUCUGAAUGGAAGGGCCAUCGCUCAACGGAUAAAAGGUACUCCGGGGAUAACAGGCUGAUACCGCCCAAGAGUUCAUAUCGACGGCGGUGUUUGGCACCUCGAUGUCGGCUCAUCACAUCCUGGGGCUGAAGUAGGUCCCAAGGGUAUGGCUGUUCGCCAUUUAAAGUGGUACGCGAGCUGGGUUUAGAACGUCGUGAGACAGUUCGGUCCCUAUCUGCCGUGGGCGCUGGAGAACUGAGGGGGGCUGCUCCUAGUACGAGAGGACCGGAGUGGACGCAUCACUGGUGUUCGGGUUGUCAUGCCAAUGGCACUGCCCGGUAGCUAAAUGCGGAAGAGAUAAGUGCUGAAAGCAUCUAAGCACGAAACUUGCCCCGAGAUGAGUUCUCCCUGACUCCUUGAGAGUCCUGAAGGAACGUUGAAGACGACGACGUUGAUAGGCCGGGUGUGUAAGCGCAGCGAUGCGUUGAGCUAACCGGUACUAAUGAACCGUGAGGCUUAACCUU
rnacentral:rRNA from 1 species